AAAUCCACAACGUUGGCUAAAAGUAUAACGCGCGUGUUCAACUCGAGGUUUUUUACACAUUGUUUGUCGACUUUCAUAAAUAAUUAUAUUCGCCUCACCAUCGUUGUCGCCGUCGUCAUUUCCCGGUCUUCGUCUCGUUUGUUGAGCUCCUUAUCGCGAUUAAACGGCAACUGAAAAUGCAAUUUCAUUAAAUAUUUUCCAAUGCACGGUAACGGUAGAUCCUAGCUUAACGCACAUGUAUAUACGUGUGUAAAUACAGGCUCGAAAGUAUUAAGCAUUCGUCACGUUGGCUCCCAAGCUUGUUGAAGGAUUAUGUGCAAGCGCGUAGAGUGGCAGAAAAGAAAGCAACGGAAACUGAACAAUGCAACAAUUUGCACACAGCACACACCUCAAUCUGCUGCGGCGUCAGCAGCAACUGCAUAAAAGUUAUGCUCAAGGCAAAAACUGUACAUGAAACAACUUAAUUAGCUGUUUGUGCGAGCAGAGCAAAAAGCCGCGCAUUGAAACGAGCUUGAGGA